rnacentral:rRNA from 1 species
UACGUAGGGGGCAAGCGUUGUCCGGAAUCAUUGGGCGUAAAGAGCGCGUAGGCGGCCCUGUAAGUCCGCUGUGAAAGUCAAGGGCUCAACCCUUGAAUGCCGGUGGAUACUGCAGGGCUAGAGUCCGGAAGAGGCGAGUGGAAUUCCAGGUGUAGCGGUGAAAUGCGUAGAUAUCUGGAGGAACACCGGUGGCGAAGGCGGCAUCCUGGACCGGUAUUGACGCUGAGGCGCGAAAGCUAGGGGAGCAAACGGG